AUUGAACGCUGGCGGCAGGCCUAACACAUGCAAGUCGAGCGGAGCGGCGGACGGGUGAGUAAUGCCUAGGAAUCUGCCUGGUAGUGGGGGAUAACGUCCGGAAACGGGCGCUAAUACCGCAUACUAUCAGAUGAGCCUAGGUCGGAUUAGCUAGUUGGUGGGGUAAAGGCCUACCAAGGCGACGAUCCGUAACUGGUCUGAGAGGGUGAUCAGUCACCCUGGAAUGGGACAACGGCCCAUAUGCUAAGGGGAGGCAGCAUUGGGGAAUAUUGGAAAAUGGUCGAAAGCCUGACCCAGCCAGGCGGCGUGUGUGAGGAAGGUCUUGGGAUGUUAAGGCACUUUAAGUUGGGAGGCGUUACCAAAAGAGUAAGCACCGGCUACCUUCGUGCCAGCAGCGGCGGUAAUAC
rnacentral:rRNA from 1 species